GGAGUAAACUCUGGAGAAGCUCUAUACAGAGUGCCGAAGGUGCAAAGGCUCAGGAUGAUUCCUGCCCCAAUCUCUCAGGCAAAAGGACAGAGAAGAUAAA
rnacentral:ncRNA from 2 species